rnacentral:rRNA from 1 species
AGUGAACGCUGGCGGUAGGCCUAACACAUGCAAGUCGAACGGCAGCACAGUAAGAGCUUGCUCUUACGGGUGGCGAGUGGCGGACGGGUGAGGAAUACAUCGGAAUCUACUUUUUCGUGGGGGAUAACGUAGGGAAACUUACGCUAAUACCGCAUACGACCUACGGGUGAAAGCAGAGGAUCUUCGGACCUUGCGCGAAUGAAUGAGCCGAUGUCGGAUUAGCUAGUUGGCGGGGUAAAGGCCCACCAAGGCGACGAUCCGUAGCUGGUCUGAGAGGAUGAUCAGCCACACUGGAACUGAGACACGGUCCAGACUCCUACGGGAGGCAGCAGUGGGGAAUAUUGGACAAUGGGCGCAAGCCUGAUCCAGCCAUACCGCGUGGGUGAAGAAGGCCUUCGGGUUGUAAAGCCCUUUUGUUGGGAAAGAAAAGCAGCAGGUUAAUACCCCGCUGUUCUGACGGUACCCAAAGAAUAAGCACCGGCUAACUUCGUG